UGCGGCAUACACACAGCGCUCGGCAUCUGGGUUACGUCUGUGCCCUGCGCUGAGGCAGCCCGGGAGCUCCCCAUCCAUCUACCAGGCUCAGCUGAGCUGCGCCUGCUGCAAACAGGCUCUCAUAGCCUUGAACUGCAGCUGGGAUGAGACUCUUCAGGAGUUCUGUCCCUCCCUAUGCCCCCAAGGCCCCCUCAGUCCUGGUGAUACUUAAUGGCCGUAAACAGGUACCUGGGGCCAGCUUGAUGGACUACCGGUUAAAGGAGCUGGAUCUCAUAUAGUUAACCUCACAGUUGCAGCCGGGGCCCCGGAAGCCUGAAAAACAGGCCCGGUGCAUGUACAUGUGUGCCCUGUAUCUUGACAGGACGGAGAAGUGGAAGGCAGAGAUUGAGCGGAUCGGUGCCAUUUGACCUGCUGUCUGCAGUUGAAGAGUGAGCCUGGCGGUGCCGGCAAGAGGGAGGGGAGCUGCUCAAGCCCUUCUAAUAUCCCCAUUCACAGGAGAGAAACUGGGGCCUGAAGAGAUGAAGUGGCCAGUCCAAGGAAAGUGCCAGAAGCAGAUAACAGACACAGCCAGGAUUAGAACCCUGCCCCUCUGAUUCUAGAAGCCACACUCCACUGUCCCAUCCAUCAUCCUCAUCACCACCCUCUCCUCACAGGAACCUGACAGUUCAGCAUUCACAAAACUCCUGCUCAUCAUCGCAUUUUCUUUUU